CAGUGAAUGUUUUAACGGCCGCGGUAUCCUAACCGUGCAAAGGUAGCGUAAUCACUUGUCUUCUAAAUAAAGACCAGUAUGAAUGGCUAAAUGAGGGCCCUCCUGUCUCCUUUAACUAAUCAGUGAAACUGAUCUACCAGUACAAAAGCUGGUAUAACACCAUAAGACGAGAAGACCCCGUGGAGCUUUAAACCCUAAGCCAAGAAUACUAUCAACGUACACUCAUUUGACAAAGGUUUUAAGUUGGGGCGACUUCGGAACAAAAUAAAACUUCCGAGCAUAAAGAUUUAUCUUACCAAGACUAACAAGUCAAAGCAAAACUUGACCCAGCACAUACUGACUAUCGAACCAAGUUACCCCGGGGAUAACAGCGCCAUCUUCUUCAAGAGUCCAUAUCGACAAGAAGGUUUACGACCUCGAUGUUGGAUCAGGACACCCCAAUGGUGUAACCGCUAUUAAAGGUUCGUUUGUUCAACGAUUAAAGUCCUACG
rnacentral:rRNA from 1 species